GACGAACGCUGGCGGCGUGCUUAACACAUGCGAGUCGAACGGUGAAGCUCCAGCUUGCUGGAGUGGAUCAGUGGCGAACGGGUGAGUAACACGUGAGCAACCUGCCCCUGACUCUGGAAUAAGCGCUGGAAACGGCGUCUAAUACUGGAUACGAGAAGGGUCCGCAUGGGCACUUUCUGGAAAGUUUUUCGGGUGGGGAUGGGCGCGCGGCCUAUCAGCUUGUUGGUGAGGGAAUGGCUCACCAAGGCAGCGACGGGUAGCCGGCCUGAGAGGGCGGCCGGCCACCCUGGGCCUGCGACACGGCCCAGACUCCAACGGGAGGCAGCAGUGGGGAAUAUUGCCCAAUGGGCGCAAGCCUGAUGCAGCGACGCCGCGUGAGGGAUGACGGCCUUCGGGUUGUAAACCUCUGUCAGCAGGGAAGAAGCGAAAGUGACGGUACCUGCAGAAGAAGCACCGGCUAACUACGUG
rnacentral:rRNA from 1 species